rnacentral:lncRNA from 1 species
UUCAACAGUAGCCGACUCCUGUAUGGCUUCCUCCAUAACUAGAACAGACUCUGGUGCAACCAGUGCAGCUUCUUCAGUCGACACUACUCCUUCAACAACCUCUUCUUCUUUCGAACCAGGGUCGGUGAUACUGCUCAGGUCCAAGUCUGGGUAUAAUUUUCUAACCGCAUCCCUGUUGUCUUCAUAGCCGAGACAGUAAGAGGCAUAGCCACCCUUGAGGAUUUCAUUUUUGAAAUUUUCAGAUUCUUUGUAAUCCUCAACAGC